rnacentral:tRNA from 1 species
GGGAAUGUGGCUUAGUGGUAGAGUACUUGCCUAGCAUGCAUGAAGCCCUGAGUUUGAUUCUUCAGUACCA